GUGAUUUACACAGGAGCAAAAAGGGAUUCUUGAUCAAAACCCUAAAUCACAAGAAAUUCAGCCAAAUCAAGGGAAAUUAAGCUAGGAAAUUGGGGCUUUAACUAAAAUCAAGAUCACCCAGCUUAUGGGAUCACAAGUUUGACUCUGACAAGCUAGGUAGGAGCUUGGAAAUGAAUGGGUCAAAUAGAUACAAGUUCAAGUAUGAAGCUCGAAAGGAUGCAAGGCCAAACAAGUCAAAUGGUGGUGAUAACGUGGGUUGUUAAGUCGUAUGAUCACAGGAGUGAACUGGAGGUGGAUAAGUGCGUUGCUAUAAGUAGCGGCAAAUAAAAGCAAGGUAUAAAUCGGGUCUAUAAGUUGACCAGAGCCAGGUAAAUAUCAUGGGUUCCCGGAUGAAGAUUAAGCGCCAUACAAGAACCGAACACACACGAAAAAGAAGCUUCCGCAUGUUGCGUCGUCGUUAUUCUAAAAGACGAACUCAAUUACAUUAUGUUGUAAUAUUUUUGUUAUAAUUGUAAAAGUUUUAAUUUACCCAUAUU